AAACUUCCAUAAAACCCUAAAACGAAAGUCUUUGUAAAACACACAUGACAUUGUUAGGCAAUUUAUCAAGUCUCAUUUUGUACAUACGACUUGGAAAACAACGUUUGCUAGAAUUUUUUUUUUUUUUUGGCGCCUGCUAGCAAACCGCUUCGUAUAACGUUAGCAUAAUGUUAGCGCCACUUGGGCCGUUAGGUUAACUUGGUUGUGACUACAGGCAACAUUUACAGAUCAGGUAGUUUUGCAGUUAGAGGAAAUGUGCUUCCUAACUCUCUUAUUAUUUUAUGCAUCCAGGUUAAAAACGUUAUAUUGCUGUUUAUUCCUAAAUUCAAAAUCUGCUUUUUUUGGAUGCACAAAAGCUAAUGUUAUCUGUUUUAAAUGGGAGUGCGGUAGGCUUCAUAUCAGACUUUUCCCUUUAUGAAUAAUUUAAUUUGUUUUAGUACGAAAAAUAAUAUAGUUUUUCAUAUGAUUUUCUACAUAUAGGCUGUGUGCGAGUGACAGUUAGUGAGAGCCAGCCUAUGCUGGCUAGAAUGGGCCGUGUGAACUGGACAAGCUGAAUGUGCAGGGGCUAGCCUAAGGGACAGUAAGAGUAUAUAAUAUUUCGUAAUGACUCAUUGAGACGGACUGGGAACAUUAUCUUUUAAGUAGAGAAUGUCGAGCUGUAUGUUUACUUCUUUACCUGAGGAAGAUGAGGUCGAUAGAAGUAUUCCUAUCAUAAAUAAGACAGUAACUUUGUGUUUAGUUGGAAAUCUUAAAAUUGUCAUGUUAGAUGUCAUAAUAUAAAUCUUCAUAUAAUCUUUAAAUUAUCAGAUGGUGUGAUCUUUUUGUAAAUUAUGGUGGUUUUAAUUCUACUGAUCUGACAUGCCCACUCCAAACUCCCCUGUCCUCAAUUUCCGUGACAGCCAGCUGUCGCAAAGCUUAAACUUCUCGAGACUCAACACAGACAACUCACGCUGCUGUCUAUUUUGAAAUACUUAGUUGUUGAGGAUGACACGUCUAAGAAAUACAAAAUACAAUUCGUGUGAAAGCUUUAGAGUGCACAGUUUACCACAGUCCUCAGCUAGUAUUAGCUGCUGCAAUGUCUAACUACUGUUGUGUUCUUUUAAUGCCCUCGUUUAAUUAGACUUAUGUGUCCUACAGAGGUAAUGCACAGUUGACAGAUGGUCAUCAACCCCACCAUGGUUAUUCUGUAGAGAAUAUUUUGAAUAAUUCAGUAUUUUCAGUUGUCUGGCUGGUCCUUUAAUAUAGUUUUGUAUGUGAUCAGUCUGCAGUUUCACUUUAUUUUCUUGUAUCAUCAUGUAGCUAUUAGUCUAAUUUGUUGUACUUAACAUCGCCAUUGUAGAAUGUAACAAUUCAUUUUAAUGCAAAAUGUUUUUCUGACAUCUUAAUACACUUGAUAAAUAUGUUUUUUAUAUCUUCAUAGAGAAAAGAAGAGCUGCCAACCAGGUUCAUCUAAGUCAUACAGCAGGGAGAGGUCCACUGCAUCUGCUGUUAUGCAAUGGGAUUCUGCUGCGACGGAGGCGCAAAUCAGAUCUGCAGCUGCAGAUCACUUGAAGCAUGCCCCGGGACGAGUUGGAGGAGGAGGUUACAAUUAGGUCUUGUUAGCAACUGAAUUUUUACUCUUUUCUAAUUUUAAAUACUUUUAUAUAUUUAUAGUUUUGUUAUUUUCGUUUUAUUCAAUGUUCACUGUUGUACAAUGUAUUUUAAAUGUGUUCGUGGCUUUUCAUCAAAGUUCUUGAAUAAAAUUGGAUAGUGUGAAUGUUAAA